AGCUCAAUUGAACGCUGGCGUGCACGUNAGAGCUGCUCUGUACGAGCGGCGGAACCCGGGGGGUAGCUAAUGUCCCUUNGGGGAAACUGCCUGAAAUGGAGGGGAUAACUACUGGAAACGUACUAAUACCGCAUAACGUCUUCGUGACCAAAGUGGGGGACCUUCGGUGCCUCAUGCCAUCAGAUGUGCCCAGGAUGGGAUUAGCUAGUAGUAGGGGUAACGGUCACCUANGCGACGAUCCCUAGACUGGGUCCCUGAGAGCGGAUGACCCAGGCCAAACAACUUGGGGAAAAACCCCUGAGACACGUGUCCAGACUCCUACGUGGAGCGCACGCAAGUGGCGGACACUCAUUUGCACAAAUGGGCGCCCAAGCCC
rnacentral:rRNA from 1 species